UGGGGGAUAUUGCACAAUGGGCGAAAGCCUGAUGCAGCGACGCCGCGUGGGGGAUGAAGGCCUUCGGGUUGUAAACUUCUUUUGCUCUGAACAAGGCAUGCCUUUGGGGUGUGUUGAGUGUAGGGGUUGAUUAGCGCCGGCUAACUACGUGCCAGCAGCCGCGGUAAUACGUAGGGCGCGAGCGUUGUCCGGAAUUAUUGGGCGUAAAGGGCUUGUAGGUGGCUGGUUGCGUCUGUCGUGAAAGCUCAUGGCUUAACUGUGGGUUUGCGGUGGGUACGGGCUGGCUUGAGUGCAGUAGGGGAGGCUGGAAUUCCUGGUGGAGCGGUGGAAUGCGCAGAUAUCAGGAGGAAUACCGGUGGCGAAGGCGGGUCUCUGGGCUGUUACUGACGCUGAGGAGCGAAAGCGUGGGGAGCGAACAGG
rnacentral:rRNA from 1 species